GAUGAACGCUGGCGGCGUGCCUAAUACAUGCAAGUCGAGCGAACAGACGAGGAGCUUGCUCCUCUGACGUUAGCGGCGGACGGGUGAGUAACACGUGGAUAACCUACCUAUAAGACUGGGAUAACUUCGGGAAACCGGAGCUAAUACCGGAUAAUAUAUUGAACCGCAUGGUUCAAUAGUGAAAGACGGUUUUGCUGUCACUUAUAGAUGGAUCCGCGCCGCAUUAGCUAGUUGGUAAGGUAACGGCUUACCAAGGCAACGAUGCAUAGCCGACCUGAGAGGGUGAUCGGCCACACUGGAACUGAGACACGGUCCAGACUCCUACGGGAGGCAGCAGUAGGGAAUCUUCCGCAAGGGGCGAAAGCCUGACGGAGCAACGCCGCGUGAGUGAUGAAGGUCUUCGGAUCGUAAAACUCUGUUAUUAGGGAAGAACAUAUGUGUAAGUAACUGUGCACAUCUUGACGGUACCUAAUCAGAAAGCCACGGCUAACUACGUG
rnacentral:rRNA from 1 species